rnacentral:tRNA from 1 species
GGUCCAUGGUGUAAUGGUUAGCACUUUGGACUCUGAAUCCAACAAUCCGAGUUCGAGUCUCGGUGGGACCU